GGAGAAUAUGCACAGUGAUGUUAGGGUGUAAAGGUUUAAGUCAUUCAAAAGACUGUCCAAACUGUAGAGCAAAGGCUCAACUCAAGUCUGCUGUACCAGUGAAGGUGCUAGACAAUACAAUAAACAAAGUAGCAGAAGAGGUUCUUUCUCCAGAGGAACUUGAAGAAAGGCAGCUAAAAAUUUAGUGCUACUGACUCCCACAGAAAAAGAGCAGCAUCCCCAUCUGUACCUACACCCCAUACUCAUGACCGCC